AUGAGAAAGGAGACAGAGCAGGGAAAUAAAGACGGAGAGCUCCAAGCUUUCCAUCAAAUCAGAUCACUCAGCUGGGCAGAACAAUUCCAAGCAGCCCAACGAGCGAGUUCUUCACAGUGGUUGUUUCACCAAAGACCGAGACCAGAGCUUGCUUCAAACAACUCCAAAAGGUUUUCAGCUUCCAUGCUGACUGCAGCAAGCAGCAGAGACCAGGAGGAUCUGGAGGAGGGAAGAGGAAGGAAGCCAUCAUCCCCUUGCAUCUCACACUCACAGACAUCAAGCUGUGAGAAAAGAACCGGAGCAAAAAUGCACCAAAAUGUCCCCAGGGGACCCUCAGCACUCUCCAGCUUCCCAGCUUUUGGAGGUCUGGCAAGAUCUUCAGCCAGAACUGUCCCAGAAUUUUUAUGAGACCUUGUCCAAGCCCUGUAAAAUGGCACCAGGGGAGAAUGGUGUUUCCACAAGGAGGUUUGGCUGACCAUGGAAAGGAAGGCAAAGGAGGUAGACUGGGCUGCAAUCUGCGAGGUCCUGGCUGUCUGUCUCAAGGACCACAGACUCAUCCAGCUUUCCCAAUGUCCCCAAGAGUUUCUGAAAGCUUGUUCAUGGAUUUAGGCCACAAACGUGUCUGUGACUACAGAGGUGGAUACAAGACACCCCCACGUUCACCUCUGGGUGCAGGAAGGGAACUUUGCACUUGAGUUGGUUCAUAACUGGGAAAACACAAGUUUAUCCUCUUAAGUUCCCACUUUAGGAUUUCAGCCCUCUCCAUGGAUCAGCUGCCUUCUCAAGCAGACACAAACCCCCAGACCCUGCUGAAAUGCCUGCAGAGCAAGCAGAGAGCGACUGCUGCCCUCAUUAGGAAGGACAAAGCCUUCUCAGCAGUGGAUUAAAAAAAGCAGCUCACACUGGGGUUUGCAGGGUAGGACACGGGCUCAUUCCAAUGCUAACCAGAUUAUUGAGCUCGCUGAAGGCUAUCUCUGAAGGGAUAGUUGGAAUUAGUUGAUAGUGAUUUAAUUUGUGUUGCAGAUUGCUAAUUAAGCCUGUGAAGAGGACAAAAAAAAUUAAUCCAUUUAG
rnacentral:lncRNA from 1 species